rnacentral:rRNA from 1 species
CCUACGGGAGGCUGCAGUGGGGAAUAUUGCACAAUGGGCGCAAGCCUGAUGCAGCCAUGCCGCGUGUGUGAAGAAGGCCUUCGGGUUGUAAAGCACUUUCAGCGGGGAGGAAGGCGUUAAGGUUAAUAACCUUGGCGAUUGACGUUACCCGCAGAAGAAGCACCGGCUAACUCCGUGCCAGCAGCCGCGGUAAUACGGAGGGUGCAAGCGUUAAUCGGAAUUACUGGGCGUAAAGCGCACGCAGGCGGUCUGUCAAGUCGGAUGUGAAAUCCCCGGGCUCAACCUGGGUACUGCAUUCGAAACUGGCAGGCUAGAGGCUUGUAGAGGGGGGUAGAAUUCCAGGUGUAGCGGUGAAAUGCGUAGAGAUCUGGAGGAAUACCGGUGGCGAAGGCGGCCCCCUGGACAAAGACUGACGCUCAGGGGCGAAAGCGUGGGGAGCAAACAGGAUUAGAUACCCGUGUAGUC